rnacentral:snRNA from 1 species
UUAAUUUUAAACAUUAACUUUAAUAAAAAUUUUAAAACCUGUUCUUCUCAGUUUAAUAUCUGAUAUGUCCUUUAGUUGAGGACUGUAUGUUAAAUUGAUUUUUGAAACAGGAGGCUGGAAUAGGAGCUUGCUCUGUCCACCUCAUGCAUUGCAUUGUCUCUGGGAACGGGGCAUCUCCU